UUCCAUUUUCCUGAAGUAACAGCGGUUCCAACGAAAGUGGCAGAACUUCUUCUGGUAGAGGAAUAGAAGCAGACGGAAUUGCCCCAUUAAAAGAUGAAAAAGUACUGCAUCCAGUGAAAACAUAUGACGGGAAAAGAAGAAUUGUUUCAACUGCAGAAAGUACCCUCACAAUGGACAAUAUAGAAGCUAGUAUUUCUGCAGUUUCUGAAUCGUUAGCACCCCCUGUAGAAGCAGGAAGCAGUACUAAAUUAGGUAAAGAACAAUUUCUUUGUUCAUACAAAUAUACCUGUAUUAGUAUCUAUAUUUUAAU
rnacentral:lncRNA from 1 species